CCUAACCUUCCACCGCCACACUCCCUUUCCCCAAUACCCAGCAAUACCCAACAUAGCUUCAAAAGAAAAACCAAAAGAAAGAAAAAGAAAAGGGAAAUGGAAUUAGGAGAAAAGAGAGAAGAGAGUUGCGAUGUAAAUGAAGAAGACAAGGGGAAGAGGGGGCUGACCACACCACCAGCGCAGGAGAGAACCGAGGGGAGAGAGAGAGUGAUGCGUCUGAGAAAGAGAGAGAGAGAACCGAAGGGAGCUGCUGCGCCGUCGCGAGGGAGUCGCCGUAAGCUUUGCGUCGAACUCCUCACGAACCGUCGUUGUCCGUGGAGCCGCUAGGAGCUGUCGGUCGCCGUCACCGAUUGAUGGAAGAAGAGGACGCACAAGAGGAGCCGCUGCUGCUGGGUUACCAUUCUUCCACCGUUGCCGUCGGGAACCGGGUUCAAAGAGGUAGAACCGCGACAAGAAAGGAGGGUAGGAGCUAUCGCGGUGGUCGCCGUCACUGUCACAGCUUCUUCCGCCGCCACUGGCUUGCCAUUUCUGCUCGGCUGUGCCCUUAUUCGCUGUUCUGAUUGUCAAAAAGAAAUGUUGUCGAAGCUAUAGCUUCUCCGUUUUCCAUUCUCUUGUUUCUUUUCCGAGGGUGCUUAGAAUACAAAUUAUGAUGUAGCUGUGGCAGAAUAAGGUGAAAAGAUGCGGGUUUGAUUCUUUGAGGAAUCAAAUAAAGAACUACUAUGAAGAGUUAUAAUGCGUUUUGGUUUAUAUGAUGUUGUAUUAAUUAGAUUAUUUUUCUUCUCUCGUCUUUGUUAUUACAAUUCUGUAAGAGGGAUAGGAGUUUUGUGUUUUAUAUGUAUAUUAUUUUAUAAGCUAUUAGUUAAAGAAAUAUUGUAUAUGAAUCUAUGUGUUUGUUUUUUUAGAUAAAUUAUUUAUUUCCGGUUUUUAAAGAAAUCAGCGAUACGGUGUCGAGUUACAGGCUCCUAUUUUAAUAUUUAGUAUAUAAAGUAGUCGUAAUACUUCUUGUUAUCAUAGUGGCGCAGCCGGAAGCGUGAUAUUCUGGUAGUGAGGGUGUUACAAAA